rnacentral:rRNA from 1 species
AUGGCCGCCAGCGCCAACUGCAUGUCCACGAACCAACAUGUUGAUGACCAGCCUUCGCUACCACCAGCGAUCUCGCUAGCAUCCUCCGCACACCACCCUAACCGUGGACUCAGCUCCGAGGAGGAGAACCUCGCCUUAUCUCUGAUGAUGCUGGCUAGUGGCAUCCGUGACAAGCAUCCUGCAUCCCUCGACCAUGCUACAACACCGUCACUGCCUCUGCCACCACAGGUGGCAGAUGUUCCAGCGGGUGUAUCCCAGGGUGCGCCGGUGGCCAAAGCGACCAGCCAAACACCCGCUUCGGGGGUUGUGGUCGCUUCAAGGCAAGGUCCCACACAAGUGCCUUCACUGUCGCCAGUGGUCGCUAUCGGGCCAAAUCUGGUGCUGGAGCAGGUGGUUCCACCGAGCCAAGCGACAGACCUGGUGAUCGUGCCUCAACAAGCCCCUGGUCUGGCAUUGGCAUCCACCCAAGUGCGGCCGAUUGUCACGACGAACAAAGCACCAUUCAGCAAGCCCAACAAAGUACCCACACGGCCGAUCAAGCCCUGCAAAUCGCUCAAGACCGUGGCUGCGAUGACGGAGAACCAGACGCCACAACAGGAGAGCCAACAGCUGUUGCACGAGUGCCCGUUGUGUCUCAAGAGGUUCAAGAAGUCUCGGGGCCUUAAGGUGGCGUUUGGUUUGAAGGCGGGAUUGGCUGGGGAUACCCUUAACCAUGUGGUUGGGGAUACCCUUGAUUCUUGUUUGGUUGUAAGGAUUACAGAAUGA